GAUGAACGCUAGCUACAGGCUUAACACAUGCAAGUCGAGGGGCAUCAGGAAGAAAGCUUGCUUUCUUUGCUGGCGACCGGCGCACGGGUGAGUAACACGUAUCCAACCUGCCCUUUACUCGGGGAUAGCCUUUCGAAAGAAAGAUUAAUACCCGAUAGCAUAAUGAUUCCGCAUGGUUUCAUUAUUAAAGGAUUCCGGUAAAGGAUGGGGAUGCGUUCCAUUAGGUUGUUGGUGAGGUAACGGCCCACCAAGCCUUCGAUGGAUAGGGGUUCUGAGAGGAAGGUCCCCCACAUUGGAACUGAGACACGGUCCAAACUCCUACGGGAGGCAGCAGUGAGGAAUAUUGGUCAAUGGGCGUUAGCCUGAACCAGCCAAGUAGCGUGAAGGAUGAAGGCUCUAUGGGUCGUAAACUUCUUUUAUAUAAGAAUAAAGUGCAGUAUGUAUACUGUUUUGUAUGUAUUAUAUGAAUAAGGAUCGGCUAACUCCGUGCCAGCAGCCGCGGUAAUACGGAGGAUCCGAGCGUUAUCCGGAUUUAUUGGGUUUAAAGGGAGCGUAGGUGGACUGGUAAGUCAGUUGCGAAAGUUUGCGGCUCAACCGUAAAAUUGCAGUUGGUACUGUCAGUCUUGAGUACAGUAGAGGUGGGCGGAAUUCGUGGUGUAGCGGUGAAAUGCUUAGAUAUCACGAAGAACUCCGAUUGCGAAGGCAGCUCACUGGACUGCAACUGACACUGAUGCUCGAAAGUGUGGGUAUCAAACAGG
rnacentral:rRNA from 1 species